UUGUGGGAUGUGGGACGCCACCUCAAUGUGGCCUGACGAGCGGUGCCAUGUCCGCGCCCAGGAUCCGAACCCUGGGCCGCCGCAGCGGAGCGCGCGAACUUAACCACUCGGCCACAGAGCCGACCUCUGUAUUUCUUUUCUACUAUUGGAAGUAAUAGUUUCUUGACAUGCUAAUAAAAUAAAAAGAGGCAAUGAGAUCUGCACAGUUUAAAUGUGUGCUUAUUUUUUAAAUUAAUACUACACUGAAUUUAAAGCAAAUGGGACUCUGAAAAGCGGUGAAGUAAAGUCUUUCCUGUGUUUGUGGACAUUUGUGUUGAUUCCCAAAGAGUUCUUCUCCACUCUACAGAGUGAAAUGUCCAGCACAUCACUGAUUGGCUUUAAAUUUUGUCAACAUAAACCCUAAAGUGGGCAACCUCCACUUCCAGAGGACAAAGCCUUUGAAUCAAAUUUACGUUUCACCACACCAUGUAGCACAUAGAAAAUAAUCCCAAAGAUUGGAGAAGCACAGUGACCACAAUGCAGUUUUGUGAUCUUGUAUGGAAUAUACUCUUUUAUAUAAUUGAUUGAUUAGACGUUUGUACUGUUCUUUCACUCCAGCUCCUCCUUUGUUACCCUGAAGCGGUGUUUCUCAGAAUGAAUAGGUUCAGGGGAAGCAGUGGGACCCUUCUCAAAUGCUGCCUCUGCCUCUGGUCGGCCCCUUUGUAGUUCACUGUCAUGAAAUCCUAAGUACAUGGCCACAGUGGUUUUGCUUCCAAUAAGAUAUCCUGACCUUCUCGGUAAACUUCUGCUAACCCAGCUUUUCUGUCAGACCCACGGGGCUUCAUAAGCCUUCUCUUAAGAAUCUUUAGCUCUGGUUAUGUUCGAUUGCAAGUCUUCUUGCCUGUUAUCUCAGCACAUUUAUGCACAUCUUUCCUCUUCUUACUUGUAUUCACUGUCUUUUUCUUUUGCUUUACUUCUCCAUCAGCGAUGAUUAUCAACGGCCUCAAUUAAGAUCCCUAAAGCCUUGGAAGGCUUGUGAGCAGCUAACUGUUCCAUCUUGCUUAUAUCUGAUACCAGGUCCAGCAACCACAACCGCUUUGCUGCAAUGCCUGAAUUAACUUCUUACAUUUUGGCACUUGAGCUACACCCAACAAGAUCUAAGACAAUUUGUGAAAGAAAACAUAAGGUAGAACAAUUUGGAAUGAAAAAAAAAACAGAACAGGAGUCAACAGCAAAGAACAGAAAGAGUAAAAUUGACCAAGUACUUGAGGUGAUGUGAUUAUCAUAAAUGGGCAUGGAGCUUAAUUUGCCUGGAAGCAAAGAGAUUUAGGCUAGAGGUACUUGUAUGAGGAACAUUAAAUUUCAGUGGUAAACUACUAUAGUUUUACAAAAAAUCUCUAAAAUCAUGCUUAAAGAGAUGUGUUUACUGGCCUGAAGGCUGAAAAUUAUAUUAUAAAUGUGUGAAAUAUUUUCUAUGUCAACUAAGUUAAUAUUUUUUAGGUUUCUUAUUUUUUUCAAUAAUCUAAUUAGUUACAGAAAUAGGACUUUGAGAAUCUAGCUGAAUGGGUGGGUAAUAUCCCAAAUAGACUCUUUAAUGGAGGACUUAUACGAGUCCAUGGCAGGUGCUGGGUCACAGUAAGUGAUGUUUUCUAUUUCUAAACUAAAGCACAGAGAUCUUCGUUAUUGGUCAAAUUCAAAACUGUAAUUUUAAAAGUACCAGAUGUGAGUGGGCAAUUCUGUUAUUUUGUUGUGAAAUUUUGAGAGCAGAUUUUUCAUCUCACCUGGAUCUCAACCCGCUUUAUCAAGAUAUGAAUAGUAGGGGUCAGCCCAGUGGCACAGCAAUUAAGUUUUCACGUUCCACUUCAGUGGCCCGGGAUUCACUGAUUUGGAUCCUGGGUGCAGACCUACACACCACUUGGCAAGCCAUGCUGUGACAGGCGUCCCAUAUAUGAAGUAGAGGAAGAUGGGCAUGGAUGUUAGCUCAGGGUCAGUCUUCCUCAGCAAAAAGAGGAGGAUUGGCAGCAGAUGUUCGCCCAGGGCUAAUCUUCCAAUAAAGAAAAAAGGGAAAAAAAGGCAUGAAUAGUAGAGGACAUUUGUUAGAGCCAAUAUUUUCUUUGAAGUGGGUAAAUGUAAUUCAUGGAGUUAAAUUAUGAGACUUGAGUUUGAUUUUAGUUCCAUACUCACCAAUUAUGAGGCAUCAGAAAAGCUGCUUUUCUGGCUGCGUCAACAAUGCAGCUUUCCUAAAAGGGAGAGGGUAGACAUAAUUUAGAUCAAACUUUAUAUGAAUGUGAGUGCUGGAUUUGUGUUGGAGGACAAGGAUAUGAUGGAUGAGAUGGACAGGGGUUGAAUCUCAUGAUUCAAAAAACUCUAAAAAGAAACUUAGUGACUCUUGUUUCAUUACAGAACACAAGUGGACAAACUUCUUGUUCAGUAAGCUGUACAGUUAAUGUGAAAAACUAAGGGCAUAAACUUAUGCUAGAGUUCAAUUAAAACACACACACACAACCUGAAUUUCCAGUUUGUCAAUUUCGAUGUUAUGUAAUAACAAGACCACCCAAAAGGUGGCACUAAAAAACAGACAGUCACUAUGUGACCUUCAAGUAAAUGUGACUUAAUGAGAAAAGAAAAAAAGAGAUGAUCGGUAAACUUGUCUUCUUUCAUGUUGAAGUGUAUAUGUUGUCUUCUUAGCAACUCGUAAAUAUUAAGCAGCAGAGAUGCUGAAGAAUAGCUCCUGUUUUCAGUCCAACAUAAAGCAUUUGAAAUUGAUUUGUAUUGUAGCCAUAUAUGUUUAAUUCAGUAUCUUUCAGUUUUUAAGACUAGUAGCUUUUUUUUUGUCAUCAGAAAACGUUGGCAUUUGUAGGCUAACUUGAUUUUCUUUUGAGUCAUGCUUCUACCAUAAACUGCAAAAGAACAGAUGUUCUUAUCUGAAUCCGAAUGUAUACAUUAUUACACGUCUAUGGGUUAUAGAAAAUGCUGGUAGAAAACUUCAUGUUAAAGCUGAUUUUCAUUUUUUGCUAUUUGCUGUUUUUUUGACUCUGUGUCAAUUAACCAAGUCAUGACACAAGAAAAUUAAGAAUAUAACGCAUGUAUGUUGACACAUUUAUUUCAAAUUGCUCAUAAAAUUUUUUAUGAAAAAACUAGCAGUAAUUGUAUAUUCUAAUAACUGACAAAAAUGUAUUAGUAUCACUUAAAGUAAUAGCUGUAGUAUAGUAAUAGUAACAAAAAGCCUAUUAUAAAUAUUGAUGAGUAAUAUAUUUAAAUAAAUAACUUAAAACAAAAUGGUACCUUUUGAGGUUAUUUGGAAGAUGUAAUAAAUUGUGCACCACCUACCCACUCAGAUUCUUUUUUUCUCCCCAAAGGCCCAGUACGUAGUUGUAGAUCCUAACUCUAAGUCAUUCUAUUUCUUCUAUGUAGGAUGCUGGAACAGCAUGGCUUGAUGAGGGGUGAGUAGGUCCCCGCCCAAGAUCCGAACCAGUGAACACCGGGCCACUGAAGCAGAGUGUGUGAACUCAACCACUUGGCCACAGGACUGGUACCCAACUCAGGUUCUUUAUCAACCAAGAAAUAUAAUAAAUGAGUCAACAUAUGGAGAACAAAAUAAUUACCCUUAUUACAGUUAAAACUGAAAUUGGAGAAUGUGUUUUGCAUGUGGGAGCAGGUGGGCUUCUGAAUACUGAACCCCAGAUUUCUCCAGCCUUACUCACCUGGUCACAGGAGAGCUUGACUAGGCAGAUUCUCCCUUCAAAACCAGGGCUCGCCUACAGAGAAGUAAAGCAGAACACAUGGGCGGCUGUUUCUGGAGAGAAAAAGAGAAGGAAGAUGCUGGCUCCAUUG
rnacentral:lncRNA from 1 species